UUUGUCAGUGGCCCCCCCAAAGGGAAGAGGUUGCCAGUCUCCUGGGGGCGGGGUUUAAUGACAAAAAGAUAAAUAAAUACCACCACAUUGGCCACAGAGCUGCUUGUGUCUGAAGGUCAAUCCAGCACUAGUCCAGUUCAUCCUCUCUCAAACUAAACUCACAAUGAAACCAACAAAAACACAAACUGCAAUUUGUUUCCACUUCACUCCAACUCCAGAAUUAUUAUUAUUAUUUAUUUUUUUUUUACAGUCCCACUCCUGAUCCUCCAGUCCUAGAAAAUCAUCUAUUAUUCUCAGUAAACCAAUCGGACAAAUUGACACUUUACCACUCACCACCAAGUUUAGUGUCUCAAACAUGUUUUCAUAACGUCAACAAAAAUAAAGUUCCGCCACGUGGUUACAGUGUUACAGUCGUGCAUGGGAUCACGUAGCCGCAUGAGGUUCGCAGGAGGUGACAAGUUUGGACAAAGUCUUACAUAACCUGUUGACACACACGCACGCGCGGCCCAGCGCGCGUGCACGCGCGCACACACAAUUAUUAUCUCGAGGAGUUAUUUGAAAAGUAGGUUGCAAAAAAAAAAGAAAAAGGGAAGAGCUAAUGGAAACUAUGCAGCGUGUCAACUGCGGCAACAGCUGAGGCACGCGCGCCUGAAUAUGCGCAUGCGCAUGAGGAUCCAAACAUAGCUGCCCCCACGUGAGCACCAGCUGUCACUCACCUGGCAAGGCAGGUAUGGCCACACCCUCCAGCCUGGCAAGUGACUUUUUAUUUACAUGAGUAGAAAAAAACCAGGCAGAGAGUAAAAUACGAAGGACAAAGCGGAGGACGCUCAAGGGGGAUAUUUUGAAGUUGUAAAACAAAGUCAGCCAGUCAGCCAUGAACGCGCAAAGCAGGCGAUUUGACCGGUCAACAUGGCUGGUGAUGCGCCAACACUGUCGGGAUGUUGCAGAGGAUGCAUGGCUUGAGAAAUUCGGGAGGUUUAUCAAUGGAGGCAAAGCACGAGUGAGACGAAUGGAUGGACACGACGCCCCGGCGCGCCUUGUCGCGACCCGUUGCCUCGACUCGGUGGCUGAAUGAUCGGAAGCUGUGACUGGCUCCCUCCGGCAUCAGAGAAAUGUUCUCACAGUAGCGCCUCCUCCUCUUCCUCCUCCUCCUCGUCAAUGUGGACUCCAUGGCGAAACAAGUCAGCCAGUAAAAAGUCCAAUAAAAGUAAUAAACGUGA